GUGGAGCUGCCUUACUCAUGCAGGGCUGGGUCUUGCUGUACCUGUGCUGGCCAGUUGGUUUCCGGAACAGUUGACCAAUCCGAAGGUGCAUUCCUCGACGAUGAACAAAUGGAGAAGGGUUAUUUGCUGACUUGUAUUUCAUACCCGAAAUCCGACUGUGUUAUUCACACACACAAGGAAGAAGACGUCGUUUAAUAAUGUUCGAGUUCAUUCCUCUUCGAGGGACCUUGAAGAUCGAGGGCGAUACAAAUCUUGUGCCGUGGACGCGGAUUACAAAAAUAAAUUAACAUGGUGAUGUUUUGUGUCUGGUUUAUGGCAUAACUCUUGUUGCAAUUUGUUCAAGUAUUUGGCAAACACCAUAUUGCUCUCUAAACUAUUGUCCAUUUGAAAAACUAUUGAAGUUUGGC
rnacentral:misc_RNA from 1 species